AACCUAAACCUUCCAACGUUUGCCUCAGGGAUUUCCAAUGCACAUGACAUGUUAAAAAUCAUCACUCCCACAGAUUUUAGUCAUCUUCACACUUAAGCACAUACUUAAUCAUAGUCACCACGUACUAGUUCACAUUUAACCAAUUAAAACAAUGCUUUGAAUGUAGUAACAUGCCUUAGAGAAUUCCCUCAAUUCCUUACAAGAUAU
rnacentral:lncRNA from 1 species